CACACAGCACACGUCCUUGCAGGGUGACUUUUCUAAACUUGCAGGACCUCGUAGCGUCUCCGGCUCCACCAGUACUCCACCUGCCCACCACCUGCCCUCCUGGGUCCCUUUCGCCCAAGCUCCCGCCCCUUGCCUGACUGCUCUCCAUCCCUGUGCUGGGGGAGGGGCUCCGGCGGUAUCCUACAUCCGUGGUGACUCUAGAGCUAAAAGAAAGAAAAACGCGCUGUGCUUACCAGGUGUGCGCCCUGAUCCUGGCGCCCCCAGCCAGCCGCUGGUCGCGGGCUUCCAGCGCUCGCGUGGCGGUCUCGGCUGCAGCUGGAGCGCUAGUGGCGGCGAUGGAGGCAGCGGUGGCGAUUUAGCAGGGAUGUUGAGCUGUGCUAGACACAUGGAUCUAUCAAGAGCUCUAACAGAUGAACCAAGAGCCCACGUGCUACAGUUGAAAGGAUAG
rnacentral:lncRNA from 1 species